GCCUAGAUCCGCAGCCGCACCGGCGUGCCGUCGUCCCUCGAGGUCGUCCAUGGAGGUCCGACCCUCCCUUCAGCCAUGGACUCAGACGCCCGAAACCCUAGCUACCCGUGGAGGUCCGACGCCUCAACCUCCAAGGAAAGGACGCGCGCCGGCUGCAGGCCAUCUCCGGCGACCUCCGACCAUGGUUGCUCGGAUCUGGACCAGCUGCUGCUCCUACUGCUUCAGGUGGACGAGGACGAGCCCUCCCUCAUGGUUGCUGCGGCUGCCUACUCCCUUGGUCACCACGCCCCUCCCGUGCCUGGGGUCUCCUUUCUCUCCCGCAGCGGCCGCAGUAGGCGCGUGUGGCUAGAAGGGUUGAGGGAGCGAGGUCGGUGCCCUCAGGGCGGACGCGGCCGGAGGUCGACGACGAGCAAGGGUGGCUGCUGUGGCAGAACCAGCCAUCUUCCCGAUCCAGGCUGCGCAGGCAGGUUCCAGCCGGGCAUCCGCUGGCCACGCGCAUAAAUGUAUCAGGAAUGAGCCGGCCGUUCUACAGUUUGGAAUAUAAUCGGACGAAGAGCGGAGGAAAGUGGACCAUGAACAAUGGCGUGGCUCCGUAAUGUGGGACACCUCGCCAUUGAGGCGAGCGGCGGCUGCAUAUACCACACCACACUUACCAUCCGCACGGGGGGCCAUGGCCAAGCGAUGAAUUUUGCUAUACACCUGGCUGGGAGCUUCUGCCUUGGCCUGCUCUUGACCAGCGGACAUUGAGAUGUGCAGGCUUGGGACGGGCACGAGGACAAAGAUCAUUGUGCUGCCAUUUUGCAUAUUUGGGGAAGAUUCGGGUCAAUGAGAUGUGCUUGGUUCAACCCAUGGCCUUGCUUUGGAGGUUCUUGACAUGAUUUACUCAUGGAAUUUGUAAAGAAUAAGUAAUUCUUCACCCCGGUCGAUCCACCCGAGCAAUGGUCACCUGAAAUCACUUUUCACCGAUGUAAUUUUACGUGAUGGAAACGGUUAGCUGGUCCUACCAGCUAGCCCACUCCAUCCUACCAGAAAAAAAAACGUGCGAGCAGUUUUCUUAUCAGCGUUCCUCUCUCCCCCUGCCCUUUCCUAUCUCGCCAUUGCGGAGGCGGCGGCAACGACGACACCGGAGGGACGACCAGGAGGCGAUGGCUACCUCUCUCGUGCGUGCAGUAUUUCCCUUUCCCUCUCUCACGCGGCAGCGAUCUGGAGGCGACAUGGGCGCUGCAAAGGUCCAGCGCAAGCUCGACGGCGACAACAGAUUUCUCCGGCACCCCUUUCCACAAUCGUUGGUCCUCCCGCCGGCAAACGAGGAUUGAAAUUCUGCCAAGAAAUCUCAGAGCAGAAGAUGUAUGCACGGUACUUGGAGACAAGGCAAUGCUGCGCAGGCGAGAAAAUGGCAAGUACGUUGUA